rnacentral:tRNA from 1 species
AAGUCUAUGGUGUAACGGAAAGCACAUUAGUUUACGAAGCUAAGAGUAUAGGUUCGAUUCCUAUUAGACUUA